rnacentral:tRNA from 1 species
GCAUCGGUGGUUCAGUGGUAGAAUGCUCGCCUUCCGCCCGGCCCGGGCUCCGGCCCGGGUUGGAUUCCCGGCCGAUGCA